rnacentral:rRNA from 1 species
UACGGGGGGAGCAAGCGUUGUUCGGAUUUACUGGGCGUAAAGGGCGCGUAGGCGGCCACCGCAAGUCGACUGUGAAAUCUCCGGGCUUAACCCGGAAGGUCAGCCGAUACUGCGGGCUAGAGUGCAGAAGGGGCAACUGGAAUUCUCGGUGUAGCGGUGGAAAUGCGUAGAUAUCGAGAGGAACACCUGCGGCGAAGGCGGGUUGCUGGCUGACACUGACGCUGAGGCGCGAAAGCUAGGGAGCGAACGGG